UACGUAGUGGCAAGCGUUACUCCGGGAAUUACUUGGGCGUAAAGGAGCGCGCGAGGUGGUUGAUUAAGUCUGAUGUGAAAGCCCACGGCUUAACCGUGGAGGGUCAUUGGAAACUGGUCGACUUGAGUGCAGAAGAGGGAAGUGGAAUUCCAUGUGUAGCGGUGGAGUGCGUAGAGAUAUGGAGGAACACCAGUUGCGAAGGCGGCUCUCUGGACUGUAACUGACACUGAGGCACGAAAGCGUGGGGAGCAAACAGGAUUAGA
rnacentral:rRNA from 1 species